rnacentral:rRNA from 1 species
AAGAUUACUGAUACCACCUUCAGAAUGCUUAACGUCGUCUGAUCUUGGAAAUUAAGCAGGGUUGGUCCUCGUUAGUACUUGGAUGGGAGACCACUGGGAAUAGCAAUAGCAGUGGCUCUA